rnacentral:rRNA from 1 species
UACGAAGGGUGCAAACGUUGCUCGGAAUUAUUGGGCGUAAAGCGCACGUAGGCGGCUUAGCAAGUCGGAUGUGAAAGCCCUCGGCUCAACCAAGGAAGUGCAUCCGAAACUGCUGAGCUUGAGUACUUAAGAGGAUCGCGGAAUUCCCGGUGUAGAGGUGAAAUUCGUAGAUAUCGGGGAGGAACACCAGUGGCGAAGGCGGCGAUCUGGGAAGAUACUGACGCUGAGGUGCGAAAGCGUGGGGAGCAAACAGG